GCCUGAUUAACUCAGUGGUAGAGUGAUACCAUGACAUGGUAUUGGUCGUUGAACCUCGAAUCCAACAUUAGGCACCA
rnacentral:tRNA from 1 species